GAUGAAGAACGUAGUGAAAUGCGAUAAGUAAUGUGAAUUGCAGAAUUCAGUGAAUCAUCGAAUCUUUGAACGCACAUUGCGCCCCCUGGCAUUCCGGGGGGCAUGCCUGUUCGAGCGUCAUUACAACCCUCAAGCUCUGCUUGGUAUUGGGCUCUGCUGGGACCGGCAGGCCUUAAAAUCAGUGGCGGCGCCACUCGGCUUCAAGCGUAGUAAUUCUUCUCGCUUCGGAGACCCGGGUGCGUGCUAGCCAGCAACCCCCAACUUUCUUAGGUUGACCUCGGAUCAGGUAGGGAUACCCGCUGAACUUAAGCAUAUCAAAAGCGGAGGA
rnacentral:misc_RNA from 1 species